UUAGUUUUUGAAGUAUGGCCUGCCCCUGACAUAUUGUUGAAGGGCCGCGGUAUUUUGACCGUGCAAAGGUAGCAUAAUCAUUAGUUCUUUAAUUGUGAUCUGGUAUGAAUGGCUUGACGAGACAUUAGCUGUCUUAAGAGUAUUAUUUAUUGAAUUUGGUUUUUGAGUUAAAAUUCUUAAAUGUUUUUAUGGGACGAGAAGACCCUAUAGAGUUUAACACUUUUCUUGCUUAUGUGUUGUUUGUUUAUCUUUGUUGAGUAGGAAUAUAUUGUUUUGUUGGGGUGAUGGGAGGAAUAAUAUUUAACUCCUCUUUGUUUUUGUAUAUUUAUUUAUAUUUUUUUGAUCCAUUUAUUUUGAUUAUAAGAUUAAAUUACCUUAGGGAUAACAGCGUUAUCUUCCUUGAGAGUUCUUAUUGGCGGGGGGGUUUGCGACCUCGAUGUUGGAUUAAG
rnacentral:rRNA from 1 species